rnacentral:rRNA from 1 species
UACGAAGGGGGCUAGCGUUGUUCGGAAUCACUGGGCGUAAAGCGCACGCAGGCGGAUCGUUAAGUCAGGGGUGAAAUCCCGAGGCUCAACCUCGGAACUGCCUUUGAUACUGGCGAUCUUUGAGUCCGGGAGAGGUGAGUGGAACUCCGAGUGUAGAGGUGAAAUUCGUAGAUAUUCGCAAGAACACCAGUGGCGAAGGCGGCUCACUGGCCCGGUACUGACGCUGAGGUGCGAAAGCGUGGGGAGCAAACAGG